GCCUAACACAUGCAAGUCGAGCGGAUGAGAGGAGCUUGCUCCUCGAUUCAGCGGCGGACGGGUGAGUAAUGCCUAGGAAUCUGCCUAGUAGUGGGGGACAACGUUUCGAAAGGAACGCUAAUACCGCAUACGUCCUACGGGAGAAAGUGGGGGAUCUUCGGACCUCACGCUAUUAGAUGAGCCUAGGUCGGAUUAGCUAGUUGGUAGGGUAAAGGCCUACCAAGGCGACGAUCCGUAACUGGUCUGAGAGGAUGAUCAGUCACACUGGAACUGAGACACGGUCCAGACUCCUACGGGAGGCAGCAGUGGGGAAUAUUGGACAAUGGGCGAAAGCCUGAUCCAGCCAUGCCGCGUGUGUGAAGAAGGCCUUCGGGUCGUAAAGCACUUUAAGUUGGGAGGAAGGGCUCAUAGCGAAUACCUGUGAGUUUUGACGUUACCAACAGAAUAAGCACCGGCUAACUUCGUGCCAGCAGCCGCGGUAAUACGAAGGGUGCAAGCGUUAAUCGGAAUUACUGGGCGUAAAGCGCGCGUAGGUGGCUUGAUAAGUUGGAUGUGAAAUCCCCGGGCUCAACCUGGGAACUGCAUCCAAAACUGUCUGGCUAGAGUGCGGUAGAGGGUAGUGGAAUUUCCAGUGUAGCGGUGAAAUGCGUAGAUAUUGGAAGGAACACCAGUGGCGAAGGCGACUACCUGGACUGACACUGACACUGAGGUGCGAAAGCGUGGGGAGCAAACAGGAUUAGAUACCCUGGUAGUCCACGCCGUAAACGAUGUCAACUAGCCGUUGGGAUCCUUGAGAUCUUAGUGGCGCAGCUAACGCAUUAAGUUGACCGCCUGGGGAGUACGGCCGCAAGGUUAAAACUCAAAUGAAUUGACGGGGGCCCGCACAAGCGGUGGAGCAUGUGGUUUAAUUCGAA
rnacentral:rRNA from 1 species